GAAACAAUAGGAAAGGGACUGAAUGUGUUGACAAUCAAAGGCCAUCAGUCCACUCCUUAAUGCAAAAUUCGAAUUACGCCGGCAAACAUCCAUUUCACAUAAAAUUUUAUGUGUAGAACCCCAGGUCUUCUUCUGAACGUGCACUGGUAUUGAUUCACCGUGGAAAGCUUUUGCGAUGGCAAAUAUUCCUCUAGCCUUGUCAAUACACAUGGAUUUAAGAUGAUAUUCUGUACUAAUCCAUUGCUUACAGCUUGAGUGUUUUCUCUUCAUGUGCACUCAGAGGUUCUUUUUGUUCAGUCUGAGGUUACAAAAAGAACAUUGCACCUUUCUGAUCUUGGCUUGGACCACCUCAUGGAAUUCAGAGGGCAGAGGCUGGGCAGCAACCAUUGGCGUGGGCACGGAGGGCAGAGACUGGGUGGCAACCAGUGCAGUGGGCACGGAGGGCAGAGGCUGGGUGGUGACCGGUGCUGUGGGCAUGGAGGGCAGAGGCUGGGAAGCCACCAGUGCCAUGGGCACAGAGGGCAGAGGGAGCACUUUAGGAUCUUUGCCACACUAUGACAAGUGCCUGAGGAACUGAUCUUUAUGAACUACUGUUUUCUGGCAAUAACAGCAAUGGUAGUGGCCUGAUCCCUGGCAGUUCAGUGAACACUUGUAUAUUUUGAAACCUGAAACAGUACAAAGAAAA